UUAAAGGCGAGGAAGAGAAAUAGUAAAUUGAGGAACUUCUUAAGAGAGUCGGUGGGUGGUGUGAACCGAUGAAGUGACCAGUUGAAUCCAUCUCAGAGCCAUUGGCUGAAUGAAAGUAGGUCAAUUCGGAGGCAUCCGUUAUCAUGUAUGGAGAUGAUUAGUAAUUAGCUAGCUAAUAACUAGGGUGGCAACGCGGAAGGAUAGCUUUCGUCCCUUAU
rnacentral:ncRNA from 1 species